rnacentral:lncRNA from 1 species
ACAUGAGUUAAAAGUAUUAAUGGUUCAAAAGACGGCUGAGCAAAUGGAAAUGCUCAAUGAUGGGCUUUCGGAAUCCCAUGACGUCAGAAGAUUUAUGCAGCUAAGCGCCAUAAAUAUUUGGAGCUACAUAUGGGCGACUUAAUAUACCUGAAAAUAAGGACAUUUCAAGAGGGGCCUAAGACUCAGAAGAUAAAGGAGCUUAAACCGAGACACAUGGAAUUGUAUCCUGCACUGGAGUGGAUUGGAUUAUUUGCUUGCAGUUACUUUAUCAGCAGUAUAUCAGCCUUCUAGUACUUGGUUCAUAUGACAGCAUUGCAAAAGUUGAGAAGGCGCUAUAACUAUUUUGCAGUAGACAUCAAGUGAGUUCAUAAAGAUUUUAUGAACCUUAUCAUCUAUUGGAGAUUUUGGAUCAUCAAGAGAAAACAGUUCGGGGAAUGUCGACUGUGUUUGUCCGAGUUCAUUGGGAGGGAGAUAAGACCCAGGAGGAGACCUGAAAGGUCGAGCGAAGAUUAGUAUUCGAGGUUUUGCUAUGAUGACAUUGGGCACGUUAGCUUAUGACAUGAAUUCGGGGACGAAUUCCUUAUAAGUGGAGGAGAAUUGUAAUGACCCACCACUCCCACCAUCUCCACUUCUUUCUCCAACCCCACCACUUCCAACUUCUUCUCCACCAUCUCCACCUUCUUCCCCACCACCUCCAUCUUCUUUAAAAUUAAGAAAAAGAGAGAGAGAGAGAGAGAGAGAGAGAGAGAGAGAGAAAGAGAGAGAGAAGAAGAAGAAGAAGGGAGAAAGCUCACCUGAGCUCGUCGCCGGAGCCACCACACGCCAGGACGUCGUAAAGCUCGUCACCACCAUCAUCCGCAACCAAAGGUAACCGGAAACCGCCAUAUUUUUGAGUUUAGUUUCGGCCGUUUUGGUAAAUCGACCAUAACUUCUUAACCGUUGCGAAUCUCGUGCAUCCAAGCCCAUCAUCGUGUUCCUCUCGUCGAGACGAAGCCGUAGACACCAAGCACGCCUCAAACGGAGCCCGGACGCAGCCGUACGCGCCUCCAGAAAACCGCCCUUCGCGCGCGCGUGAAACGCACGCGCCGCCGCCGGAAAUCGUCGCCACCGCAGCUCCGCCGCCGGACCACCGUCCGCCGCCGCAGCUCCGCCGUCGCCGCCGGCCAACUUUCCGGUAAGCCGCCGCCGCAGCUCCGCCGUCGCCGCCGGUGACCGACACCGGUGACUCACCGGCGACUCGGUCAACUCGGCCGAGUCAACUCAGUGAGUCAACUCGGUUGACUCGGUUAACCGGUUGGUUAGCCGGUUUAAAUUGAUUUUGGUUCGGUUAGGGUAAACCGGUCGGUUUAGUCAAAUCGAUUUCCGGGUUGACUUUGACCGGGUUGACUUUGACCAGCGGGUUGACUUUUUUCGAAAACCUUGACCAGUUCCGUUUUCGACCGUUCGAAAGGCGUUCUGACUCAGAAUUUCGAUCUGAUUUCAGAUAUGGAGUCUAUUUGAGCAGCUGGAGUUCAUAGACAACACUUUUCUAUUGCUAAGGUGAGGGUCUAUUCCCGAACUCCUCUUAUUCGGCUUAGGACCUCGAAUAAGUAUAAUUUAUUUCUAAUGUGUUCCGUCUGUGUGAAAUCGAGUCUAUCAUUGCUUGUUUAGUUUUAGGUUCUUUGCAUAAACCGGAACUAGGGGGUUAGAGGAUUCAACAUUGAUUGUUUCACUUAAUGUAAAUUCUUAGCUAGGAUUGUUUUUGUUUGGAGACGGAUACAGAGUCGGACUGCUGUAUGCCGGAUUGUAUGGAGGUCACAGCCAACUUUAGUCGACCGGUUGAGCUGUAGACUGGAAGUGUCGAUAAAUCGUCUACGGGCGUGUGUUACCGAGCACUUUUUCGGUGUGUGUAUGAACCGAGCACCUUUUCGGUAGUGUUUUGGCCUGUUAGUGGGCGGCGAGUGUGCACCUCGCUAGGACCAUUGUUUGUUGCUUGAGUACUUUAGGUACUGUGUUUGACAUGCAUUAGAAUUAAAUUAUAUUUAUUCGGAGUGCUAUGUCCGGGUCCAUGGACUUCGGGGUAGCAUCCCAUACCUCACUGAGCGAUUCCCCUGUCGCUCACCCCUCACUCUUCCCCCUUUCAGGUGAGACAAACAAGUAUGUGAUAUUUGGACGGACUUGGUGCUACUGGACUUUUCUUUCGGAUUUUAUUUGGGCAUGGGUGAGAGUUGUCGGGUUUAUGGGCUUUUAUAUUACAGGAUAUUGUUGGUGGCCCGUCGUCCUUAGUGUCAGGGAGACGGGUAUCACAUUGUUGUAUGAUGACGCGUCGGGGGUGACACGCUGUCCUCCAUAUAGGAGGUGACGGGUGUCACAGAUAAUUUCUUCAUCCUAACUCCUAUGUGAUUUAUUCAACUUAUUUGGUAUCAGAGCGGGUUCCAUCCCGGUUCCGUCCGGGAUGGCGGUCAGGGGAUUCGGUUUUCAUCGGUUUUCAACUUUAAAAAAAAAAAAACUAUAUAUUUAUUUAUACAUUUCGAAAUUCUUUUAGCACCAUUCUGUCCUGUAAUUACUAACUCAAAUGUCUCUUUCUAUGACGAUGAGUAAAAUCAUCGUCAUUCGUCCUUCGACUAAUAAGGUUCUCGACAGAUGUUCAGCAGUUGCGUGAAGUCCAAGUUCGUCAGUUUUCUCGGGAGUUAUCAGUUUCUUCGGACAUGAUUUCGAGGCUAUCCAGGAGUGGAUAUAUGACGUUUCUGCCACCAGCCCACUUCAAGCAAUCGUUCCACGAGUUUUGUUACUGGAGAUUUUGUGGUGUGUGAUAUGAGCCAUUGGUUGGCAUGUGUUGUUGUGUGUACGAGUAUAUUGACUAUUUUGGAGAUAUAUUUGUUUUGUGAACUCGUGGAGAUCGCUUUUGAAUUGGGGUGCAGCAGCUUGCGUUGUGUGGGUGUUGGAGUUACACUUUGGUAUGUUUACCAAUUUUGGCAGUGUUGAUCGUUUCAGAGAUGUGUCAGUUUGGACAACUGACAUAGGACAUUGGGAGCUGUUUAUAUCCAUCGCAGGGUACCAGUUAUGCUUGGAGGGCCGAUUUGUUCGGAUAUUCAUCAGAGAUGGAGCUACGUUUUUACGAUGUUAUCCUUGGGACGGAUUGAUUGUCACGGCAUCAAGUAGUGUUGGAUUGCCUGAUGGCAAGAGUUCCGAUUGCUGGAGCAGAUGGAAGUUGUUAGUGCAUGCAUGCUACAUACUGAGGAGUUAUGGGAUACAAGGACAUAGAGAUUUUUGACUACCAUCUCGAUGGUUAAGGCUGAUGGACAACAUGAGCUGCAGGAUCUUCCGGUUAUUGCAGAGUAUGAGGACAUAUUUGUGACCUUUGGAACGGUCAUCACAUGACACAUGAGAAACUCUUGCGAUUUGUUUGGAGCAAACAACACCAGUUUCACAAGUUUUAUACCGAUUAGCACCAACAGAGAUGACAAAGCUGAAAGAGCAUGUUGAAGAUUCAUCAGACAAGGGUUUUAUCAGACCGGGUACUUUACCGUGGGGAACAUCAUCAUUGUUGUUGUAAAGAAGAAAGGUGGGAGUUUCAAUUUUGUAUCGACUGCAAAGGUCUGAACAAAGUGACCAUUAAAGAUAAGUAUCGCUUCCGCGCGUUGAUGAAUUAUUGGAUUAUUACAGGAAGUUUAUAGUUCUUGAAGGUUGACUUGGCAUCAGAACACCAUCAGAUUACUAUAUUUGAAGAGUAUCUACUGAAUGUGAAUUUUUGUAUACAUUAUGGAUAUUAUGGGACGCAGUGAUACCAUUUGGCUCGACAAAGGCACUGUUGCAUUCAUGAAGAUAUGAAUGACGUUUUCAUGAACAUUUGGAUAGGUGUGCGAUUGUAUUCAUCGAUGACAUCCUGAUUUAUUUUGGAGAAGAAAGGAGAUUUGUGAGCAUUUCGCGGAUUGCGUUGGAUAAGCCUGGAGAGCAUCAGUUGUUCGCUAAGUUGAGGAAGUGUAGCUUCUGGCAGAGGAAUGUUGUAUUUUUGGCUGACAUGGUUUUGGAAGCAGAAUUUUGAUGGAUCAAAAGAAGAUUAAUACCGUUUCGGGGAGGUCGAAACCUAAGAGCGCUACAAAGAUCUGCCGUUCUUUUUGGGUUAAUAGUGUUCUACUGGAAGUUCAUCAAGGGUUUCACCGGUAUAGUAAUGUUAAAGACGUGGUCUGCAUGUAAAGACGUAAAGUGUGGCUGGAUAGAUUUUUGUUCAAGGAGUUUCACUGAAUUGAAGCACAACUAAUGAAGACACCAGUUUUGGGUUCUACUGAGGCUGAGGCUUACUGUGAUGUGUCAGAUACUGGAUUGGAUUUAAAUUAAGGUAUGAGGAUUAAGUCAUUCAUAUGCAUCACGCCAGAGAGGCUGUAGUGGUAUUUGCGUUAUCGUUUUGGAAAUCGUAAUUGUACGGGAAGGAAAUUCAGAUUCUCUGGGAUUAUUAGAAUGUGAAAUUUAUCUUCAUUUAUUAAAAACUUGUACUUGGACAGUGCAGUUGGAUUGAGUUUGUAGCAGGCUAUAGUCUGGAUAUCGCAUACUAUCUGGUAAGGACAACCAGGUGAUAAAUGCCUUGGGUAGGCGUAUGAGCUGUAUCUCAGGAACCAAGAAGGUUCAUGAGUUGGAGAUUUGCUAGUCUCAGGUUGGGUGUCAUUACUAUCAAUGGAGAGACAGAUGUCCUUGGGACUUUGGAGCAGGCAGUUUUGCUAUGGAGGAUACACAAGCACAAGUUAGCAUUCUGGAUUGGUUGAACAGAUCGAGAUUGGGAGUAUUGGAUAUCAUACAGCUUUGAGCAGGAUAUACUUGUACUGAAACCGAGUUUGUGUGUUGGACGAUAAGUUGUUAAGAAAAGGAAUCUUACAACAAACAUAUCACUCGUGUUUCUCUACCCAUCGGGAAGACCAAAGGGUACAAAGAUAUGAAGAGUUAACUAUAAUUGGUGUAGUAUGAAGAUGUUUGUAACUACAUUACGUCGCGGUGCCAGACAUGUUAUAUGGCAAUAACAGAGGAUCAGUCAUCUAUCAUGUUAUUUUUGAGCUUGCUUUUGCUGGAGUAGAAAUGAGGCAUGGUGAUUAUGGACAUUGUUAUUGGAUUUUAAAUCACCAUAUGUGGAAAGGAUGCCACAUGGGUAGUCAUGGAUAGACUUACCAAGUCAGCCCAUUACCUAAGUAAUUAAGAAGAUAAUCAGGGCUAAUCAAUUGGAGCAGACCUACAUUAUUGAGUUCAGGAAGUUUCAUGGAUGUCAACAUUGUAUCGGAUUGGGAAUCGAAGUUCACAUCUACAUUUCAGAAAGCCUUUCGGAAGGCACUUGGUACAAAGAUCAUAUGAGUACAUCUUAUCACCCGUUGACAUAUUGUCAGUUAGAGAGGACUAUUGAGGACUUAAAUGAUAUGUUCAGAGAUUGCGUGGGAUGGAAUUUCGGAAAGCAUCUACCUUUACCAGAGUUUGCCUACAUCGACAAUUAUCUUUCGAGUAAAAAAAAAAAAAAAAAAAAAAAAAAAAAAAAAAAAAAAAAAAAAAAAAAAAAAAAAAAAAAAAAAAAAAAAAAAAAAAAAAAAAAAAAAAAAAAAAAAAAUUACUAUACAAGGGUUAUUUAUGGUAGACCUUAUAGUAUACCACUUUGUUGGACCAAAGUGGGGGAGCGACAUGAGUUAAAAGUAUUAAUGGUUCAAAAGACGGCUGAGCAAAUGGAAAUGCUCAAUGAUGGGCUUUCGGAAUCCCAUGACGUCAGAAGAUUUAUGCAGCUAAGCGCCAUAAAUAUUUGGAGCUACAUAUGGGCGACUUAAUAUACCUGAAAAUAAGGACAUUUCAAGAGGGGCCUAAGACUCAGAAGAUAAAGGAGCUUAAACCGAGACACAUGGAAUUGUAUCCUGCACUGGAGUGGAUUGGAUUAUUUGCUUGCAGUUACUUUAUCAGCAG